rnacentral:tRNA from 1 species
GACGGUUUGGCCGAGUGGUCAAAGACGCCAGAUUUAGCCCUCUGGUCUAAAACGGCGUGGGGUUAAAUCCCACAGCCGUCA